CCAGAAAACAUACUUGGAAACUUCAAUGGUUUCAUUCUGGUUCAUGAACCUAACUAUGCCAGAAUUGAUUUUAGCAAGUUCCUCUAAACAUAUCAAAUCCUUCUCAGCCUUCAAAUCAUGCAUGAAUGUGUUUUUAUCCAUAAAUCUUGACAAUCCAUAGUGAAGUGGAUUCUGAAGAGUGUUUGCAACAUAUAAAGCAUCCUUAUGUUCUUGGUUUCUUGACAACCAUGCAUGUAGAAGCUCACAGCAGAGAUAUCCUACAUCGUUAAGACUAUCUUCUCCUUCAAUACUUAGUUGCGAUGCUUCGUAAAGGGCAAUGAGACCUUUCACAUCCUCACCAUGUUUUUCUUCAAACAUUCUUUUGUUACACUUCAAGCUGUCAAAUAAAUCUACACAACAAUUAUAGUUAGUCAUUUUAUUACUAAAUAUAUAUAUUCAAUUUUGGAGAGGAUCUGUAUUAAACAAACCUGCAUUUACGUAAUGGCCUCCUUGUCUCAGCAAGCGGAAUGCAAGUGCAACUUCAUAGAGUUCAUGGCUACUCACAAAAUCAAUUAUAGGAUUGGUGUUCAAUAUCAAAUGCAGAUUUUCAAGAGCCACUUUUAUUUCCUCAGCAAAAUAGUGCUCAAUACCAAACCUUUGGAUAAUAUCCAUCAAAUAAAAACUCUCCAUCGGAUCUUCGAUUUUAACAAGUUUCUUAUAAACUUGCUUAAAUAUUAAAGCUUGUUUGACAUAUACAACAUCCUAAAAUUGUAAGAGUGCAGAUUGAUCAGAAUAUUGAAAUAAAGCUAUAUAUGUUGUAACUAAAUUUAGAAUAGCUGUAUAUAUUCGUACUUCAAUUAAAAUACUUACCAUUCUAGAAAUUAAUGCUUUGAUAGUAAAUUAAAACAGACUCGCACUAGUACAGAAAACACUUUUUAAAUCAGGUAAAAAUGACUUUUUAAAUCGGUUCAAGAUCCGACUUAUAGGUGGCCGAUUUAAAAAACUGUCUUUGAUAGCUGGGGAUAUUGUUAAGAUAUGAAGUGGUUUGCUAUAGCUCAAGAAAGAUGGUUAUUUAUAGCUGAACAUUGCACAUAGUUGAUAUUUGUUAGUUUGAGCUACUGAAUGAUUGAAGGUCAGCAUAUGUAUGCUGCAUAUGUGUAUUGUAAGACAUUAAUUUAUUAGUUAUAGUUUGCCAAUGCUUGUUAUAGUAUGUUGCAUAUGUGUAUUGUAACACAUUAUUUUAUUAGUAGUUUUUCUUUUGUAAGACAUUAAUUUAUUAGUUAUAGUUUUCCAAUGCUUGUUAUAGUAUGCUGCAUAUGUGUAUUGUAACAUAUUAUUUUAUUAGUUAUAGUUGGGCAAUGCUUGUUAUAGUAUGUUGCUGAUGUGCUGUUGUCUAUUCAUGACUAUUUAACAUUAAUUAAAUAACAACGAUUAAUUUAAAGGAGAACAUGUUUCUUAUAUUCCAUGUUUAUUUUGUGAGGAACUUUAGAUCAAUCUUAAUUUAUUGCUUAUAUAUAUUGAACGUCCAAAUGUAAUAUAAUAUGUUUAGUCGAUCGUGCAAGUAGUAAAGGUCAAGAAGCCACGUUGGUUCAUUUUUCUUCAUUUUUUGGUAAACACGUGAUUGUAUGCAGCUUGGGACACGAUACUAAAUAUGGACACUUCUUACAAUUCAAAUUUGAAUUUUAUCCCGUCAUGCUGUGAGAGGCUAAGCGCUUGUGCUUUACCAAACUUCCUUUGUUUUUUUCUUUUUCUUAUAAAAUAGUAGUAAUAUGUUGAAUCAAGAAUGACAUAUUAAAAACUUAUUUGGUGUUGGUUUCAAGAAUGACAUAUUUUUAAUUUCGAGAAUAGUAUAACUACAUAGAUUAAAUUUGAAGAAUUCAUAUAAACCUCUUCAAUUCCAGUUUUGAGUUCCUCCAAAUCAGGAGGAUUUUGUAUUACGAAGAAAAUGAACCCUUCGAAGUCUUUUACUCUCAAUGUCAUCUAUUUAUUCCUCCCGGAUCUUCCUUUUUCUCCAAACCUCUCCCCUCCCUUCCCCCAAACUCGCAAACAAUGCCUCGAUGAAUUAGAGAGAAAGAAGUAUAUGAAAGACACUUGUUAUUAAAUUAGAGAGAAAGAAGUAUAUGAAAUACACUUGUUAUUGAAUGACAUUGUUGAGGGAAGAAGUGGUUGUUAAAACUGUGUAUUACCCCUUUUAUAGAGGAGGAUAACAUUCACUAACCGUAGUUACUUGUAUGGCAAGUAACCAUUCAAAUUAACAACCUUGUAAGCAACAUCUACUUCCUAUUUUCUAGUUUGAAUUACAAUCAACAGAAAUAAAAAACACUAACUCAAGAAUCAAUAAUUGUGCUUUGUUUGAUUUUCAAGGUGGAUUUCGAGAAAGCCUAUGAUUCGGUGGAUUGGAGUUUUUUAGAGUGUCCGAAUUGGGUGGCUUGAAUGAAGGUGUGUGUGUGGGGGGGAAGUAUGUCGAUCCUUGUCAAUGGUAGCCCUACAAAGGAGAUUAAUAUUAAAAGAGGCCUUAAACAAGGAGAUCCCUUAGCUCCUUUUCUCUUUUUGCUAGUGGCGGAAGACUUUAGUAGGGUAAUGAGGAAUGUGGUUUCACUUAAUCUCUUUUAAGGGUUUGAGUUUAGAAGAAAUGGUUUAGUGGUUUCUCACCUACAAUAUGCCGAUGUCACUCUUUGUAUUGGUAAGGCAAUGGUUGAUAAUCUUUGAUCCUUGAAGACGGUGUUAAGAGGUUUUGAGACGGCGUCGCGUCUUAAGAUUAAUUUUUUUAAGAGAUGUUUGAUUGGUGUUAAUGUUCCAAAUGAUAUUUUGGAAAUGGCUUGUAAUUUCUUGAUUAUUUGGGGUUACCGGUUGGAGCUAAUCCGAGAAGUUUCAUGACUUGGGAGCCGUUGGUGGAGCAUUUGGGAAUCUUGGGGGGCAUAAAUACAUUAGUUUGGGAGGUAGGAUUAUCCUCCUAAAUUCGGUGUUAAAUGUGAUUCCUAUUUUCUACUUGUCUUUCUUGAAGAUGCCAGUGAAAGCUUGGCGGAGAAUAGUGAGAAUUCAAAGAGAAUUCCUUUGGGGAGGUGUGGGAGCCGGUAGAAAGAUUAGUUGGGUGAGAUGGAAAUGGGUUUGUCAACACAAGGAUAUAAUGGUGGUCUAGGUGUGCGCGAUGUUAGAAUCCUAAAUGUUAGGUUGUUGGCAAAGUGGAAGUGGAGGUUGUUGGAUGGGGAAGAAGCCUUAUGGAAGAAUGUUUUGGUGGAGAUAUAUGGUCCAAGUAUUACUAGGAUGUUGGAUGGUGGGAUGACUUAAAAUUGGAGGUGUGCUUCUCUUUGGUGGAAGGAUGUGGUAAAUUUAGAAAACUUUGGUGCCCAAGGGUGGUUUAAUUUGGAGUUAACUAGAAUCAUUGGCAAUGGAAGGAACUCUAGUUUUUGGAAUAUUAAGUGGCGAGGGGAUACAACUUUUAGGAGUAAAUACCCAAGACUCUUCUCGAUUUCAAACCAAAAAGAAUCGAUGGUAGGUGAUAUAGGGGAGGUGGUAGGCUCUUCAACGGAGUCGCGUUUUGAGUGGAGGCGGGACAUUUUUGAUUGGGAGGAGCAACUCUUCCAAAUCUAUUGCUAGAUUUGGAAGGUAUGUUUUGGUCUCAUGAGGAAGAUAGGUGGAAGUGGGGUUUGGAGGAGUCGGGGAUGUUUUCCGUUAAGUCAUCAUAUGGAAAAUUAGAGGGCAUUGUGUUGACGGAAGAUUUCUGGAGUGAGACGGACAAAAGAGUGUUUAGAAAAAUAUGGAAAAGUCCGGCACCUUCGAGGGUGGUGGCUUUCUCAUGGAAGCUCCUUUAUGAUAGAAUUCCAACAAAGGUUAAUCUCGCGGUUAGGAAUGUCUUACCCAUGGAGGCUUCUCGGUUGUGAGCUUUAUGUGAAAGGGUGGAUGAAUCCUCAACUCACCUUUUCCUUCAUUGUGAUGUAGCAGGUAGGGUGUGGCAAGGUAUUAUGCGGUGGUGGGAGAGGAUUCUCUUAAUUCCGCCUAAUUUAUUUGUGCAUUGGGAGUGUUGGGUUAGGGUGUGCGGAAUAAGAAAAUUUGUAAGGGCCUAAGACUCAUUUGGCAUGCAACGAUGUGGGUGUUGUGGAUUGCGAGGAACAAUAAAGUGUUUAAUACCCGGAACCCGGAUGUGGACGAAAUUGUGCAUGACAUCAAGAUUUUGCCGUGGCGUUGGUCUUUGUAGAGAAUCCCUAUGCCUACGUGCAUGUACUAUGAAUGGUGUUGGUGCUCAACGGAAUGUCUUUUGCGGCUGGUUUAGCUGGUAGGGGCUGGUUCGGUCUAGUGAGAGGGGGGCUGUUGUUAGUUUUCUAUAGCAGCUGCUGUUUGGUGCUGCGGUGUCUGCUAUUGUGCCCGAACAGCUGCUGUGGGGCAUCUGUUUUUGCUGUUCUGCUCUCGGCUCUGGGAGUGUUGGUGCGGUUGUGUGAGUCUGUGUAUAGUUUGAGCAAUGGCUGUGUAUUUUGGUGGUGUUUUGACUGGAUUACAGGCACAUAGCUUUUGCUUCUGUCACCUUGACAACAUGGUAUAAGAUUCAUUUUUUUUUUUGGCUUUCGCACCGGUUUCCGACCCACCAAAGGUGGGCGACUAAUCCGGCUCGUGCGUAGAGGCAUGCAUACUGGCCAAGCGUUGUUUCCCCUGGGAAUCGAACCCAGUAUUCCCCGGGUGCGUUCUUGAAAGGAGCUCCUUGCCACUGGAGCACAAGCAACUUAGUUGGUAUAAGAUUCAUUUUAGUCAUGUGGCACAAGAACUGUUUCUUUUUUUCUCAGAAAGGAAUUUUACACAAAAAUUAUCUGUCUGAUAGUAAAAAUAACAACCAAAUAACACCGUUAGUCUGAACAUCAUAGGAGAAGAAACAUCCGCUCUCAUUAUCGGUCCCUCACUUUCCCUUAUUUUUGUCAUGAUUACUUUUCUUUAUCAUCUUACUCCUACCACUGUGAUAUUAAAAAAGCAUUGUUGAUGGUUCUUCGUGACGUUAAAUAAAUUGGCACCAUUUAGGCAUUUUCCUUCAUAAGUUAGUAAUGCAUCUUCAACUUAUUACUAGUGCCCUGAAUAAUACCUUUUAGAAUUGGUUUCCUUCUUCUAGAUGAAUUCUUAUAUGUAUAUAUUAUGCUUUUGAUAGAAACAUGGCACACUUCACUUUCACCAAUAUUUUCAUUGUUUCUUUCGUAUGGGCCAAAUCAAGGAACCUGUAGGUUGGCUGUAAGAUUAUUUUCGCUAUUAUUUUCUAGAUGACCUUAAUAGUGUAGUUAUCUGUAAGAUUAAGAAAGUCCAAUUGCAAUGCUUAUAAUUUCAUUGAAGUACAAGGUUUGAGUACCAAUAAACAAAUGGGUUAUUAGUACCAAGAGAACCAUGAGAACAAUAUUGCCUAAUUUAAAUUACAAAAUCAAUAUGUUGUACAUAAACAACAGAACACAAUAUCUGAAAAUGUACUAAUUACACCCAACACUAACAUUAAUCAAUGACUUGACAUGUUCCUGGAGAUUAGAGAGGCUUGGGUUGCUCUUAUAGUGGUACAUGAGGGGAACCAUUCUUGCAGCAUUGAGACAAAAGUUGGAAAAUGACGAUGAAAACUGAUUUGCAACCAGAAUUUCUUGAUUGAGACAUUUCCAUUCAUUUGAAAUCAUGUGAGCAACAUGUCUUUGCACGUCUUCACCGGAAAUAUCUUGGUGUUCACUCAUGUAGCAAUCAAGGUAUGACCCAUCAAGACCAUUUUGCUCUCCACUCUGCAUUCAUUCAUGGAUAAUAAUUCUUAUCAUUAGAACUUUACAUUUUACAAUUGCGUUAAUUGGUUGAACAAUUUAAUCAAAUAUUUGUUUAAUAUAAUUUAGGAGACAUAUUUCAUACCUUAGCUCCUUCUAAAUCAUCAGAGAGACGAAGAAUUUUUGCCACUGAAUAUAUGACAUUUGGAAACUUUUCAUCCAAGAUAUCAAUUGUUUUCUUUGUUAUACCAUUAACAUGAUCCAACAGGAAGAAUGCAUGUAUAAGCACAACAUGAACUCCAGUGCUCACGAUUCCAUUAUUCAAGUAAUCCUCUGCUCUUGGCAAGUGUCCAGAAUUCAACCAAUGGGCCUCUUCCAUGAAAGCGUUCAAUAAGAGUAUCCACUGUUUCGCACAAAUAUUUUUAUAUACUCAGUUGUUUGAAAAAAUAAUUUAUAUAUAUGAUGAAAUAAAGAAGACAGAUAGCUAGUGUACCGAUUUUUUGAGAGUGUCUAUAGGGUUAAAUCCAUGCUUUUUGUAGACCAUUUCAGCAAAACUAUUGGUAAUGUCGUAAAGUGCAUUCAAAGCUAUUUUCAUGAAGUUUGGAAGUUGCUCUGUACCAGUGAAUUCCCACCUGAAUUAAAAAAUUGCAUAGUAAGUAUUACUGUAAAGCAUGAAUGUAAUAUUUAUAUAUAUUUGUAUAUAGGAGGUAUAUUUUUUAUAGAUCAUGCGCUACAAACCCUUUGUGGAAAAUUAUGAUAUUAAGCCUCACUUAGUUUAUGACUAUAAUUAUAUAUAUGAAUUAACUAAAUUAUGAGAUGUAUAUAUUUAUUCAAAAUUGAAUACCUGUUAACAGCGUCUGUGAAUAUUGUAAGUUGAUCCAAUGUCGCGUGAACGUCGAAAAUGUCAUCAAUGACAUAAAUUAGAGAGAUAGGUUUGGUGAGCUCAAUCCUUUGUUCUGAAAAGUUUGGAUCUGUAAAGCAUGCCAUGGGCCAUGUGUACCAUUUUAGAGGUUGAUACUCUGAAAACUUCACCUCCUUGGCUAGUCCAAGUUCUUUCCACCAUCUAUCAUUUGAGAGAAUAAUUACAUUAGUGAUUUCUAUCUAAAUUUUGAAUAGUUAUAAGGUCAACAUAGAUUUUUAAUUAGAAAACAUACUUGGAAACUUCAAUGGUCUCAUUCUGAUUCCUGAACCUAACUAUGGUGGAAUUGAUUUUAGCAAGUUCCUCUAAACAUAUCAAAUCCUUCUCAGCCUUCAAAUCAUGGAUGAAUGUGCUUUUAUCCAUAAAUCUUGACAAGCCAUAGUGAAGAGGAUUCUGAAGAGUGUUUACAACAUGUAUAGCUUCAUUAUGUUCUUGGUUUCUUGAUAGCCAAUUAUGUAGAAGCUCACGGCAGAGAUAUCCUACAUCGUUAAGACUAUCUUCUCCGUCAAUACUUAGUUGUGAUGCUUCGUAAAGGGCAAUGAGGCCUUUCAAAUCCUCACCAUGUUUUUCUUCAAACAUUCUUUUGUUGCACUUCAAGCUGUCAAAUAAAUCUACACAACAAUUAUAGUUAGUCACUAUAUUACUAAAUACUCCUAUAGUAAAAUUAUGUAUUCAAAUGUAGAGAGGGUACGAAUUAAACUAACCUGCAUUGACAUAGUGGCCUCCUUGUCUCAGCAAGCGGAAUGCAAGUGAAAAUUCAUAGAGUUCAUGGCUAUUCACAAAAUCAAUAGGAUUGGUGUUCAAUAUCAAAUGUAGCUUUUCAAGAGCCACUUUGAUCUCCUCAGCAAAAUAGUGUUCAAUGCCAAACCUUUGGAUGAUAUCGAUCAAAUAAAAACUCUCCAUCGAAUCUUCGAUUUUAACAAGUUUCUUAUAAACUUGCUUAAAUAUCAAAGCUUGCUUAACAUAUGUAACAUCCUGAAAAAGUCAAAGUGCAGAUUGAUCAGAACAUUGAAAUAAAGCUAUGUUGUAACUAAGUUUAGAAUAACUGUAUAUAUUUGUACUUCAGUUAAAAUACUUACCAUUCUAGAAAUUAAUGCUUUGAUAAUAAAACAGACUUGAUUCGGUGUUUAUAGCUGGGGAUUGUUAAGAUGAUUAUUUUGAAGAAAUGGGAAUGAUAUGUUGAGCUAUUUAUAGUUUAACAUUGCACUCGUUUCAUAUUUGCUCUUUUGAGCUACUGGUAGAUUGAAGGUCAGCAUGUGUAUGCAGCAUGUGCAUUGUAACACAUUAAUUUAUUUAGUUAUAAUAUUGAUGCAUUAUGUCGCUGACUUCAUGUUGUCUAUUCAUGACUUUUCAACACUAAAUAACAAAACAAAUAUUAAUUUAAAGGAGAACAUGUUUCUUUUAUUAAAAUAUAUAAUCAAUGCCCAUUCUUCCACACAAAAAAUGUGCCUUACGUUAAUACUUGUUUAUUUUGUGAGGCACUCUAGAUUGAUCUGAAUUUGUUGGUUUAAUUUAAAGUUUCUAUUGAACAUUCAAAUAUAAUAUAAAGAAUUAUGCAAGAACCACACUCUUUUCAACAAACUCUCUUUAGUUGGUUGGAUUUUAAAUGGGCCUCACUAAAUUAAUGGGAGCUACAUGAUUUAAUAUAACUCAUUUGACUUGCAACAAAUUAGAGAAUGUGUUGGAGAUAGUGUAUUAAAUAGUGUGUUACUAUCGCUCCUCGUAAUGUAUUUGUUUAGAAGAUAAAGUAAAUUGUAAAGGUAAAGAAGCCGCUUUGGUUGAUGUUCUUGAUAAAUUUCUAUAUGAUUUUUCUUUAUGAGAAUGUUAACAACACUCUCUCUAAUACUUACUCUCUUAUUGGUGGGUAAUUUACCUUAAUCAAUGAGCAUUCACCUUUUUAGAUGGUAUCCAUAAACUAUCUUGACCCCACCAAUAAAUUGUUCAUUUUCAUCGGUUGAUGGGUAAAUUACCCAUCAUACUUCAAAGGUAAUCUAGAAAAAACCUUAUGUUAAAUAUCCACGUGAUCGCUACUUUAAGUGGUACUCAUUUCUAAAAUAUUUGACUUAUAUUAAUUUCAUUCAAUAAAAAAUAAGUGUUAGAGCAUAGUGUGUUAGAAUGAAAAUGUUUUUAACAUUUCUCUUUUCUUCACUAUAUAGUAAGAGCAAUGCUAGUAACACAUAUUUUAACACACUUUAAUCGGUUAAAAUUCACAUGGACCCCAAAAAAGACUCCUAAACAUACUCUGCUGAAGCGAAAAAGUGAUUCUAAAUGAAUGCCAAUAUAACAGUGAUUCUAUAAAAUGUUUGGUUCAUAUAUAUAAACAGAAUACAUCACACAAAAAGCAAACAUAUCACAUAUUCAACUAAUUUUCCAUAUCCACAGCUUGAGUUAAAACCUAUGAAGCAUUAACACAUACACGAUCAUGUAACACGUGGACACCGGUAAUAAUUUGAGAAAAUGACAAAAUUGAAUGUAAUUACAUGUGUCGGUAUCAGAAACAAGCAUGUGUCAGACACCGGACACGUCUUCCGUUAGAAGUGUCGGUGUUACAAAGGUCAAUUUAUUUGGGAAAUGGAGAGAGAAAGAAGUAUAUGAAAGACACUUGUUAUUCAAUAACAUUCAAGUUCAGCGAAAAACUCUAACUAACUUCUAGUCUCUAUUAACAACCUUGUAAGCUACAUUACAAGCAACAAUUACUUCCUAUUUUCUACUUUGAAUUACAAUCAACAGAAAGAAAAAACACUAACUCAAGAUUCAAUUACAAGUGCAUCCAUAUUUUGUUUUCCUUCAGGUUAUUUGGUAUAACAUGAUUACACAUAGGAUCCAUAAACAGCACCCCCGUAUUUACCUUGUCAUGAAUCAUUUAUUAUAGAAUGAAAAAUGAUAUUCUGAGACGAAACUUUUAUGCUUUGUUGAUUAAUGAUUAUUAGAACCGAGAUGCAUAUUUUUCCUGUGCUUCACAUGUAGUUAAAAAUUUGCCAAGAACCAUGACCGAUCACCCUGUAAUGAGAGUAAACUCUAAUUUAAUAAUGCUUAUCACCAGGCCCCUGAUUUAAUAACUUCAUUCCUUUAUGGUUUGGUUAGGGUAAGCUUUUAACUUGUUUAAAAUAUUAACAGAGCUAGAAAAACAAAAAUUUCAGCAUAAAAAUUUCAGAACUAGACCCUUAAUGUUAUUUUAUGUUUAGUGCAAAAGGGAAAUGAGGAUCUAAUGAGAUUUUUUAGGUUUUGACUUUUGGUUCUUUGAUUUCAAGCUUGGUAUUACAGACCUUAGUCUGCACUCUGGAAUUUUCAAAUAUUUAGAUAAUUGCAAGUUUAAAGGAGUUUUGUCAACAUGUUGUAACUAGUAAUUGUUUGCCUCCUUCCAUGGAACCAAAACUCAAAGCAAAUGCCCGAGUAAUUUUAAUAACUUCAUUCCUUUAUGGUUUGGUUAGCUCCUUUCUUCUUUGAUGGUCUCUCAGCGUUUCUCUGUUUAACUCUCUCUAAAAUAAGUGAUAUCCGCUGGAAAUGACUUGGAAGCUAUUUAUACCAUGUCUGGUAAGUAACUGCUCACUUAGCCAUGCCCAGGCUCACCGUGGCGAGCGAAGCUUUCUUCACCAAUGGGUUUCUGCCACAUCAGCAAAGUGGCCCUCAAACCACCUUAGCUCCCGUGGCGAGCUCAUGUCUUUCUCAGCCACGCCUUGUUUUUCUGAUUUUCCUUGCUCUCUGUCUACCCUCACUGCAGCUUCGCUAUGGCGAGCCUCUUGGCCAUGACCUCAUUGUGGGCUCGUUGUGGCCAUGGUGACAGCAUCUGAUUUUCUUCACUUUCUGACUUGCCUUCGCUUUGGUCUCGCUUUGAGCUUGCUUAGCAAACCUCUUGACAUAUUUUUCUUUCCUUUUUUAUCUUAAAGUCCAUGGCAAGUGAAUUUUACCUACAUAAAUGUUGGUAUUAGACAUAAAACGCACAUAUUGCUAUUUUUCUAUUAAUUUGGAGCUUUUACAUAGAUAAUUUGCAAAACAAGUUAAUAAGUGCCUUAAUUAUACAUGUGAUUUAUCCAAUUUCUGGCACUUACCAACUCGCAAACAAAACCUUGUUGAAUUAGAGAGAAAGAACUAUAUGAAAUUAAAGACACUUGUUAUUAAAUUAGAGAGAAAGAAGUAUAUGAAAGACACUUAUUAUUGAAUGGAAUUGUUGAGUGAAGAAGUGGUUGUUAAAACUGUGUAUUACUCCUUUUAUAGAGGAGGAUAACACUCACUCACCGUAGUUCCUUGUCAGGCAAGUAACCAUUCAAAUUAACAACCUUGUAAGCACCAUUACAAGAAACAGCUACUUCCUAUUUUAUAGUUUGAAUUACAAUCGAUAGAAAUAAAAAAACACUAACCCAAGAUUCAAUAACUGUGCUUUGGUAUACCACGAUUACACAUAGGCUCCAUAAACAACACCCUGGAAUUUAGCUGGUGAUGAAUCAUUGAAUAGUUCAGAAACAAGCGAGGUUUUGUCUGUCUUGGCUGGGUCAUGAAAUGUUGCUACAGAGAGCCUUGCUCUAUCAUAAUACAAUGCUAGUCAGCCACAUAUCCUAUAAAAGCUUGGUUUCAUGUAUGGAUAUUGUUGUAAACUCAAAAAUCACUAUGAAUGAAAGAUAAUAUUUUGAUAUGAAACUUUUAUUCUUUCAUACAUAGAUACAUGAGCAAACAUCCUAUACAAGCAUGGCAUAUUUUCUUGUGCUUCACGUGAAGUUAUGGGUUUUCUAUGAACCUUGACCCAACCACACUCAACGUCCUUCCUACAAUGAUCUUAAACACAAUCAGAAAAACACAAUUGUUCGCAUGAUUAGUCGUAAUUGAAAGCUUGCCUCGAUGUCUAAAUAAGUAAAUUACAUUAUUGAAUAAUUGACUUGCACUGAUUAAUUGGAUCUCAGUAAUGUGAUGACACUCAGAAACUCUUAGUUUCAUGUACUUUAGUCACCUUGACAACAUGGUAUAAGAUUCAUUUUAGUCAUGUNUUAACAGCGUCUGUGAGUAUUGUAAGUUGGUCCAAUGUCCCGUGAACAUCGAAAAGGUCAUCAAUAACAUAAAUUAAAGAGAUAGGUUUGGUGAGUUCAACCCUUUGUUCUGAAAAGUUUGGAUCUGUAAAGCAUGCCAUGGGCCAUGUGUACCAUUUGAGAGGUUGAUACCCAGAAAACUUCACCUCCUUGGCUAGUCCAAGUUCUUUCCACCAUCUAUCAUUGGAGAGAACAAUUACGUUAGUGAUCUCUAUCUAAAUUUUGAAUAGUUAUAAGGUCAACAUAGAUUUUUAAUUAGAAAAACAUACUUGGAAACCUCAAUGGUCUCAUUCUGAUUCAUGAACCUAACCAUGGUGGAAUUGAUUUUAGCAAGUUCCUCUAAACAUAUCAAAUCCUUCUCAGCCUUCAAAUCAUGGAUGAAUGUGCUUUUAUCCAUGAAUCUUGACAAGCCAUAGUGAAGUGGAUUCUGAAGAGUGUUUGCAACAUGUAUAGCUUCAUUAUGUUCUUGGUUUCUUGAUAGCCAUCCAUGUAGAAGCUCACGGCAGAGAUAUCCUACAUCGUUAAGACUAUCUUCUCCUUCAAUACUUAGUUGUGAUGCUUCGU
rnacentral:lncRNA from 1 species